rnacentral:tRNA from 1 species
UGGCUCAGUCGGUUGAGCGUCUGACUUCGGCUCAGGUCAUGAUCCCACAGUUCGUGGGUUCAAACCCCAC